rnacentral:rRNA from 1 species
AUUGAACGCUGGCGGCGUGCUUAACACAUGCAAGUCGAACGGUAAGGCCCUUCGGGGUACACGAGUGGCGAACGGGUGAGUAACACGUGGGUGAUCUGCCCUGCACUUCGGGAUAAGCCUGGGAAACUGGGUCUAAUACCGGAUAGGACUCCGGACUGCAUGGUCUGGGGUGGAAAGCUUUUGCGGUGUGGGAUGGGCCCGCGGCCUAUCAGCUUGUUGGUGGGGUGAUGGCCUACCAAGGCGACGACGGGUAGCCGGCCUGAGAGGGUGACCGGCCACACUGGGACUGAGAUACGGCCCAGACUCCUACGGGAGGCAGCAGUGGGGAAUAUUGCACAAUGGGCGCAAGCCUGAUGCAGCGACGCCGCGUGAGGGAUGACGGCCUUCGGGUUGUAAACCUCUUUCAGCAUCGACGAAGCGAAAGUGACGGUAGGUGCAGAAGAAGGACCGGCCAACUACGUGCCAGCCGCCGCAGUAA